GUGGAGAAAGGACAGAUAUGAUUGAUGUUCCUCAGUUAUUUAUUGUACACUAUAAGAGGAAUGUGACAGGAGAGUGAGAAGCCCGAGAAAAAGCCGAAAACCUUAUGGGAUGCACUGCAAGACCAGGAACUAGAUCCUGCAUCGCAGCUUGUGGCAAAGUACAACGGUUCAGAUGAUACUCGGGAGAUUAUUAAAUGGAUCUCAGAAACAAUCUACGAUGGCGACUCCUGAGAUCUUCCUCAUUAUGUAAAUAGAACAAGAACUCCUCAUUUGGUUCCCGAGGGUUCAGAGCCAAUGUGGUCAGCUGGUGUCCAAAGAAUUCCUUCAACAAACACGAUCAUGCAGAGCAUCCGUGGAAUUUUACGCGGAAUCUAUGAUCGCAUUGGAGAUCCAAGGGUUGGUCCAAUGUUGCUUCUAGCAGCAUUGAUGUCUUUCGGUACCAUCUGGCUUCGGAGGAGUCAAGCAACUCUAGUGACAAGUUAACCAAACCAGCCAAAUUCCACGGCGAACAUUGAGAGCAAGAAAAUAAAAGACCAACUUAGUACUUUAGUACACUUCCAACUCAUGUUUUUUCAUCUUUUCCUCCCCCGUCUUGAUCAUCCCGAUGACAUGUCUAAUCUCCAUCUUACAGGACGAAAGUAGACGAAGGAGAGAGACCGGGCUAGAAACGUGCUUAAUGAAGACCAACCCCCUUCCAUCACCGAUAUGGAACCAAGAGAUUCUCAUGAAAUGCUACUGUCAGGUUCCGAUUCCGAGUAGUGGAGAUGCUGCCAGCUUUCCGAAGGUUUUGAAGUAGAAACCAAAUCCCUGCUGAUGCUGCAGAGAUCAGGUGCAAACACAUUCGUUGAAGGCAUGAAAAUGUCCGAGAGAUCAUCAAACUGAAGAUGGGAAGCCUUGUCAUCGAAUUUCGCAACUAAUUUUGAGAAAAAAGUUUGCUUUUUUGUAAAGCAGAAUCCAAAUUUCUGUGUGUAUUUCAACUAAAGCGUGCAAUUAUCUUUUAAUAGACUACUGUUUUA